rnacentral:rRNA from 2 species
UCGAGCGAUGAAGUUCUUCGGAAAUGGAUUAGCGGCGAACGGGUGAGGAACACGUGAAGAAUCUGCCCUCCACUUUGGGAUAACACCGGGAAACCGGUGCUAAUACUGAAUAUUGAAACAUAAGUGGCAUCACUGAGUUUUGAAAGAAUUUCGGUGGAGGAUGACUUCGCGGCCUAUCAGCUAGUUGGUGAGGUAAUGGCUCACCAAGGCAACGACGGGUAGCCGGCCUGAGAGGGCGACCGGCCACACUGGGACUGAGACACGGCCCAGACUCC